UACGUAGGGGGCUAGCGUUGUCCGGAAUCAUUGGGCGUAAAGCGCGUGUAGGCGGUCCGGUAAGUCCGCUGUGAAAGUCGGGGGCUCAACCCUCGGAUGCCGGUGGAUACUGUCGGGCUUGAGUACGGAAGAGGCGAGUGGAAUUCCUGGUGUAGCGGUGAAAUGCGCAGAUAUCAGGAGGAACACCAAUUGCGAAGGCAGCUCGCUGGGACGUCACUGACGCUGAGACGCGAAAGCGUGGGGAGCGAACAGG
rnacentral:rRNA from 1 species